CCAUGCUGAGUUCAUCCCACUCCAUUCAGAUAUAACUUUUCUUCUUAAAAGGAUGUGCUGUCUUGUCUAAGGACAACAAGAGACAGAAAUGGCAGUAUUACCCUUGGUAACUGAUUUUCAUGGUUUAAUCACUGACAAAUGAAAUGGCGCUUAAUUUUAUAGUUUGAAUUUAUUUUUUCAGUCAUUGAUUUUAUUAUGCCUUUCUUCACUAGAUUAAAGAGCUGUUUUGUGUCUGGUAGUUUCUCCCUGUAAGGCUAAAUGUUUGGACCAAUAGGUCUACAGACUAACUAACCAAUGCAUGAAUGGAUCUAACAAAGAAUUGGCUGUUCUAGCUUCAGCUGAUGCAAGAUCUGGAUCUGGGUUUUCUCAGUAGAGCAUCCCGUAGUAGCCAUUGUCACACCCUCACACCCCCCCAGACCAAGCCCCCUUUGGGCUGCAGCAGCACACGGUGUUGCUGUCACAGUUUGGCACGUGGUUGGCUGGGGAGUGCUGGCUGCCUGGGAGCUGGUCAGAUGCUCAGGGUGCUUGGCAGCCUGGAAUCUUUCUUUUCCUGAAAAAAGCACUGGCCCAGCCAGAAGCAAUUCAUGGGUUGGCCUGGAUCAAAACCACUGAAUAAGCUGGUAGUUUGGGUCAGGAACUUGCACAAUAUUCCAGACUUUUCUAAAAAUACGUAUCAGCAAACUAGCUGUCUCCUCAGCCAACACUUUUGCUGCUCUGUGUAAACUGUCUGCAGUUCCUUGGCUUGCAUGAUUUCUCUACUAUCCACAUAGGCAAUUAAAGCCUUCCUUAAUUAUUAAUAUAAUGAAAAGUACUUCAACAUUUAUAUGUAAUAUAAUAGCUUCUUUCCAAGUAUAAAUCAGAAAUAUUUAUUAAACACUUCACAUAUUUAUAUUUAA